CCAGUCAUGUUACUUCCAAAAGGGAAGGACCUAUUUAUGAACUCAAUUCCAAAAGGGGUGGUGGGAUUCACAGCUGUGUGUCUGACACCAGCAGGACUGAGUGAGUAGAUCAACAAGUCUGUUGAGUCAGAGGUCACAGAACCGGCUUUGACUGCCUCAAGAACUGCCUCAGCAUAAUGCUUUCAACUUUCUCUUGUUACUCAGAGAAGAACUAAGUGGGCAAACACAUUUUUAUUGACAAAUUUUGGCUAGAACACGUAAGGGGUAGAAGAGCACAAGACCAACACUGGAUUGGUCAUGGAAAGGGUGACCACUAAGCCAGGCAGUUCGACCCAUGCAUGUAUCUCUUCAGCAUACAGCAGAACUAAUUCCAUCAAACUUCAGCUUCUGUGUGGAUUCUACAGCAAGCCAGGGAUAUAUCGCUGACCCAUCUGAACAAUUUGCAGGCCAUCAUUGUGAGUACAGAGCCUUAAAACUCUUAACAUGCAUGG